ACAGAAGCUUGUUUAAGUAACAUGGUGUUUCCUGGGUCAGGUAUGGUGUGGUCUCCCACAACGCCAGUUUCUGGGCAGGGCUUAGGCUUCCACGGUCCAUAGGCCCUAGUUGCAUGCCAGCUCAGUGGGUGGAAGGGUAUAAAUCUCAGCUACUCUGAGCCCUGCCACAUGUGCACCUAAGACUUCCAACAGCAACAUGAAGUUGGGAGGCUUCCUUCUCCUUGUGGCACUCAUCUUCCUCAGCCUUGAGUUACAGGAGCUUCAGGCUGCGGUGAGACCAUUGCAACUUUUGGUUUCUGCCUGCAAUGAUGGGACUGUCUGGAGAUUCUUGACUGGAAAGAGAAAUGAAAAUCAGGACCUGUGGAUGGAGACUACAAGUAGUAUGGAGGAAGGGAAGAGGAGGUGUUUGUUUCAAUAAAUAAUCACUUUAAAAGCA